UACGUAGGGGGCUAGCGUUGCUCGGAAUCACUGGGCGUAAAGGGUGCGUAGGCGGGUCUUUAAGUCAGGGGUGAAAUCCUGGAGCUCAACUCCAGAACUGCCUUUGAUACUGAGGAUCUUGAGUUCGGGAGAGGUGAGUGGAACUGCGAGUGUAGAGGUGAAAUUCGUAGAUAUUCGCAAGAACACCAGUGGCGAAGGCGGCUCACUGGCCCGAUACUGACGCUGAGGCACGAAAGCGUGGGGAGCAAACAGG
rnacentral:rRNA from 1 species